UACGUAGGGUGCAAGCGUUAAUCGGAAUUACUGGGCGUAAAGCGUGCGCAGGCGGUUUUGUAAGUCAGGUGUGAAAUCCCAGGGCUUAACCUUGGAACUGCAUUUGAGACUGCAUAGCUAGAGUACGGUAGAGGGGGAUGGAAUUCCGCGUGUAGCAGUGAAAUGCGUAGAUAUGCGGAGGAACACCGAUGGCGAAGGCAAUCCCCUGGACCUGUACUGACGCUCAGGCACGAAAGCGUGGGGAGCAAACAGG
rnacentral:rRNA from 1 species